rnacentral:rRNA from 1 species
UGAGGGUUGAUAGGUUAAGAGCUGAUGAUAUGGACGUUCCCAUAGAAGAAGCACCGGCUAACUCGUGCCAGCAGCCGCGGUAAUCGGAGGGUGCGAGCGUUAAUCGGAAUUCUGGGCGUAAAGGGUGCGUAGGUGGUUUUAUAAGUUAUCUGUGAAAUUCCUGGGCUUAACCUGGGCGGGUCAGAUAAUACUGUAGGACUUGAGUAUGGGAGAGGGUAGUGGAAUUUCCGGUGUAGCGGUGAAAUGCGUAGAGAUCGGAAGGAACACCAGUGGCGAAGGCGGCUCCUGGCCUAAUCUGACACUGAGGCACGAAAGCGUGGGGAGCAAACAGGAUUAGAUCCCUGGUAGUCCACGCUGUAAACGAUGUCAACUAGCUGUUGGUUAUAUGAAGAUAAUUAGUAGCGCAGCAAACGCGAUAAGUUGAC